AUGAGAGCGCUGAGGGGAAGAGGGGCUGCGAGCUGAGGUGCUGCGGUCUCAGGUGUUCGGGUCUGAGGAUUGAGGAAUGAAAGAUAAGAGGUUAAGAAAAACAAGAACCCAGUAGCAAGGCAGUACUAAAGGCUGGUGAACCAGAGUUACUGCAAACUGAAGGACUGAUUGGUUUCACAUCCAAAGUGUCCACUUCUUUUCCAGAAGUAGGAAAAAAAUUACUUCUGGUAGCACUGAAAGGAAUAAGGAAAGCACCAGCUUGGGAAAAGGCUGCACACAUUUACUGGCAGCACAGAAUAUCCAAACCAUUUCCUCUGGAAUUCAGCACUGAAUGGAUUUUUUGCUCAGCUUGCAUAUGCUGUU